ensembl:snRNA U6 U6 spliceosomal RNA
AUGCUCGCUUCGGCAGCACAUAUACUAAAAUCGGAAUGAUAUAAAGAUUAGCAUGGUCCCUGCGUAAGGAUGACAUGCAAAUUCAUGAAGCAUUCCAUAAUGUU